ACCUCACUUCCCUUGUCUUCCAUGACACAUUCUUGAAUCUUUGAUUACAAGUUGCAUUCUGUUUUUAAGGUAGGUAAAAUUAAUUUUUCAACUUAUAACCAAGAAUCCUAAUGUAGAAAAUAAAUAGUAACAACUGGUUCCCUCUAUGUUUGUUAGGGCUCCAGCAAUAACAUACCACACCCUGGGUGGCCUAAGUAACAGAAAUUUAUUGCAUUUUCUACACUAACCAGACUGCUACAUCAAGGUCAAAGUCUUGACUGCUUGAAUGGAAAAGAAUGGCAAACAAAAUCUCUGGAUGGGGUUGUCUGAAAUCAGUAUCCUUUACAAUCUUGAAAUCUCGGUCCUCCUGAGAUCUAUAGGUCUGCAAAAGAAGCCCCCUCCUUCUUUUUUCCUGUUAAAAGCUACUUCCCCUUCUUGCUUAUACAGGUUGCAGAAGCUUCUGCUAUGCAAUGCGUACACCUCUCCGGAUCUAUUUUCACCAUCCUCCCCUGCCACCAGAACAAUAAUUAACAUCAGAUCCCUCCUCCUUUUGGUUGAAAAACUAACAACAACAACGAAAAGAGUACCUUUUUUAAAAAAGUGAGUAUUUUUUCAGCUUUAGAGGGUAUAUUUACCCAUGAAAGCUUCUUUUGGCCUAACAUGCAUUUAUGGUGAUGUGUUAUUAAAAAAGGGAAGUGUUGCCUCUUCCAGUUGUUAAAAUCCCUUUUUCUAUCUCGAUAGUCUAGGAAUUUAGAUUUACAGAGUGCCAAUAGAAGCCCAGGUUUCUAUCAUAGACAACUAUCUUAACCGCACUAAUCAAAUUCAAGAAUGGUGCUAAAUACUACAAAGCUUCCAUAUGUAACCAUUCAAUCUGAAUUCUAACAGUAAGUAUACAAACAUAAAUAUUUGAUAAUUUGAAUUGUAUUAUAUAUGCUGGCAAUAUUUACACAGAGAUCCAGGAUGUGCACCAAGAAAAUCUGAGCAAUUUAGAUGUCCCAUUUCUUCUCAAUUCCUAUAGGAGGUAAAAGGGAAUGGGGUAGCUUGAAUUGUUUUCUUGCUACUUAGGUUAGACAAAGAAGGCUCUCUUUAGUGACAAAUUUCUUUCUUAAUCUCUUUGAAACCAGUCUUUUGGAAGACUAGAAAAAUAUGCUAUGAAAAAUAUUAAUAACAACAAACUCAUCAAAACAAUCUUGAAAACACCAAGUGAACACAGAAGCUCAAACUUACCGACUUUGAAAAGGUGAGCAUGUAUGACACAGUUCUAUCAAUUUUUAUUUUAUAACAAUAUUGUCACCUUAUUGACUUCAGUUAUCUGAUAUGUAAGUUCUUAAAAAAGGUAUUAAUAUUACUUUUUAAUAUAGAAGGCGCUGGAGUUCUUCACUGGUACAAAUUAAACUUUAAAAUAAAAGUCAAUAAAUACACAAUAACUGGUUUGUACUUUCAAACUUUGAGACUUUAGUAUAAUUGAAAAUGUGAUUACUGCUGAUAAAUACCUGCAAAAAUCCCAAUUCAAAGGCAACAAGUUCUUUUGCUAAAACAUAGAGUUUGAAGGAUCAACUUACAGGAAAUAUUAAACAGAGGGAUGUUUCUUUGAUUUCCAAACAACUCAUUUAUACUAGAUGUGUUUCUUACAUCAUUUAAUGGCACAAGUGUACUUCUGCAUUGUUUGCAAUAGCUACCUGAUUUAUCACUUCAUUGAAGUUUUAUUAAAAGGUUCAGUUUGAUGUAUUUUAUCUUUCUACACUCACAUAAAAAGGACUUAGAAGUUCAAAAUAAUUCAGCACUGCGGAAAAUAAUAAGAGAAAAUUGCACUGGAUUUGGAGGUCUUUCUAGAGAUUAAAAAAUAAAUAAAUAAAUAACUAAUAGCCAGUUAGCAAAUGUCAACUGAAAAUAAAAUGCUAAAGCAGAAACUAACCAAUAAAUGUUUCUGCAGUUGUUUGACAAGUGCAUAAAAAUGACAAGAAAUACUAUAGAAUCUGUACAAUGACAAUGAAAAUUAUUUGGAACAUUUGUGUGUAAUAUACAUGUACAUGUAUUCAUCUUUAAAAUGUUAAAACAUAACACAAUUUUUUUUGAUAUAUACAUCCUCAAAUAUGCUAACCCUCUAAUUAUUGAGGAUUUUCAGGUUACAUUAACAGCAAAAUUUAUCACUUUAAAAUAUUGUCUCUUAGGCGCUGUUAAAAUAUAGCAGUAUAGUAUGUUGUAAUGGAAUUAGAAGACCUCAUUGAAACAUUUUUCUUCUAUAUCCUAGUGUGUAUAUUUUUUUCUAGAGAGAAACUGAAGAUCAUGGUUCCUGUUUUUUGUUUUGUUUUGUUUUGUUUUUAAUAUCCAGUAGUACAGAGAACACGGGUGAUAAUUUGACAUCUCAAUGAUGAGUCUAUAAAGAGGCUGCAGAGAAAAACAAAACAGGAAAGUCAUCACAAUUUUGUCAUUAAAGAUAAAUAGAAUAAAUUGCAUAUUAUUUCAAUAAGAUAUAAGGAGAAAUUUUACAAGUUUUAGUUCAUUGUAAAGAUGAUAAUAUAAGAAUUAAGGUUCUUCAUCAGAAACAGGUCAGCAGCUGUGGGAUGGGGGAUUAAAUAAGAGCUUUGUCUUGUAGAUUAUAUGUCCAGGUUACCUUUCAGACUUUUCUACAGCAAAAAACUGGAAGAAGACAGAAACAUGUUUAAAGUUUAUGAAACACAUCUGGAGAAUUAAGAUCUCCCCUUCACUUUCUCUCUUUCCUUCUCUAUUUCUGUCACAUGCUCUGUUUUUAUUCAUUGUUAUUAUUAUACUUUAAGUUCUGGGAUACAUGUGCAGAAUGUGCAGCUUUGUUACAUAGAUAUAAAUGUACCAUGGUCAUUUGUUGUACCCAUAAACCCAUCAUGUAGGUUUUAAGCACAGCAUGCGUUAGGUAUUUGUUCUAAUGCUCUUUCUCCCCUUGCACCCCACCCCCUGAUAGGCCCCGAUGUGUGAUGUUCCUCUCCCUGUGUCCAUGUGUUCUCAUUGUUCAGAAUAAAAUAUCUAAAAAUACAACUUACAAGGGACAUAAAGGACUUCUUCAAGGAGAACUACAGACCACUGCUCAAGGAAAUAAGAGAGGACACAAAUAGAAAAACGUUCCAUGCUCAUGGAUAGGAAUAAUUAAUAUCAUGAAAAUGGCCAUACUGGCCCAAGUAACUUAUAGAUUCACUGCUAUUCCCAUCAAACUACCAUUGACUUUCCUCACAGAAUUAGAAUAAACUACUUUACAUUUCAUAUGGAUCUAAAAUGAGCCCAUACAGCAAAGACAAUCCUAAGCAAAAAGAACAAAGCUGGAGGCAUUACACUACCUGAUUUCAAACUAAACAAGCCUACAGUAACCAAAACAGCAUGGUACUAGUACCAAAACAGAUAUAUAGGCCAAUGGAACAGAAUAGAGGUCUCAGAAAUAACACCACACAUCUACAACCAUCUGAUCUUUGACAAACCUGAUAAAAAUCAAGCACUGUAGAAAACAUUCCCUACUCAAUAAAUGGUGUUGCAAAAACAGGCUAGUCAUAUGCAGAAAACUGAAACUUGACCCCUUCCUUAACACCUUAUACAAAAAUUAACUCAAGAUGGAUUAAAGACUUGAAUUAAGACCUAAAACCAUAAAAACCCUAGAAGAAAACCUAGGUGAUAUCAUUCAGGACAUAAGCAUGAGCAAAGGCUUCAUGACUUAAACAGCAAAAGCAAUGGCAACAAAAGCCAAAAUUGACAAAUGGGAUCUAAUUAAACUAAGAGCUUCUGCACAGCAAAAUAAACUACCAUCAGAGUAAACAGGCAACCUAGAGAAUAGAAGAAAAUUUUUGCAAUCUAUCCCUCUGACAAAGGUCUAAUAUCCAGAAUCUACAAGGAACUUAAACAAAUUUACAAUAAAAAUCAACCCCAUUGAAAAGUGGGUGAAGGAUAUGAACAGACACUUCUUAAAAUAUUUCUGCUUUUCAAGAGGUUACAGUUUCUUAAAGGUGAUAAAGUCAUGAUCUACUUAUGAUUAUUUUUAAUGCAAAGAUGUUUAUGUGGGUACCGAAUUCAAAGGAAGCAUAUAACUCUCACAGAAUGAGGAAGUGGGCUAGAGAGUAGGUAGCCAGUGAAAGGUCUUUAAUUUUAUGUUCUGAUUAGGAAUUUAAUAUAGAAACUCCAUAUAAACGUUUAAACAUUCCAGAAAUGUAUAAAGAAAGAAGUCUUAUAUAAUCAUAUGAAUCAGAUAUACAACGAAAUAUUUUUGUAAUGGCUGCUUACUCUAUCCAUAUCUAUAUGUUUACUUAUCUAUCUAUAAUUCCACCCAUAUAUCUUUGUACUCCCUUAUGUAUUUUUCUAUAAAAACAUCAAGUAGAAAUCACUGUUUAUAUAUUUACACACUGUGUUCACCUCACAAUAUUAUUGUGAAUAUUUAUUUAUCAUGUAAUAUACCUUAAAGCAUAAUUUUCAUGACAGCAU
rnacentral:lncRNA from 1 species